CAUGGCUAUGGGAAAAUCCAGGAAUCAGGGACUUUACUCUCAUUGUUUGAAAAAUAGGUUCACUCAUAAGCAACAUAAGUUAACUGGAGAUCCAUCUAAUUACCCGUACAAUCGAAAUAUUAAUAAAAGUAGAGAAGGUAUUAAACAUUUUCUGGAUAACCUAAUGAAAGAUCAUGGUGUCUUUGUACCGGGAAGAGUUGCAUCUCAUAAUGAUCUUAGCAAUUCAUUUUCUAAGUCAUUGAAAUAGGGAAAUUGUAUAUAAUAAAUAUAAACAAAUCAUAUUUGGAUCAAGGAUACGAUAAAUAUUGCAGUUAAUCAACUUUUAUUCGUCAUUGGAAGACUUUGUGUCCCAAAUUGGAUAUUAUGGAACGGUGAAGCGAUGUUUCCCAUAUUUUUUAUGGUCAUUCUCAACAAUUGCCCUCAUUAUUCAUAGAAUCUAUUUAAAAACAUACUUUGGUUGAUUGGACAUUAAAUAUUAAUGACGGUAUUAAGGGGCACAUGCAUCAAAUCUAAAGUGAACGCAGCAAUUAUAAUAGGAGGGUUGAAUACUCCAAAAAUCAUCAAGAAUCUAUUACGUUAUUAACUAUAUUUUUGUUGAGGCUGAAUAGGAAACGAUUAAGGAAGGCUCAAAUUGUGCGAUAUCUCUCUUAUAUCAUUAUGGCUUUUGUAGCAUAGGUUAUUUGUGGUGCAUUUGAUGAGUUUUCUAUACCCUUUUUUGUUGAAAAUCAUUCAAAGUUUUCGCCAGUGGACGUGCAAAAAUACAGUGUUAAUUGGAGGUAAUUUUUGGACGAGUAUUUCUUUCCUCUGAAACGAAUAAAGAACUAUCACAUAUUUUUCUCAACAUAACCUUUUCUUAUCUACGUUCACUUCUUCUCCUACAUGUGUCACUUUAUCCAAAGAUUAUUCAUCAUUUUUAUCUUCACCAUCUAAUUUUUUGGGAGAAGAUACUCCUUACACAUUAUCGGCUAAUUUACUACAAGCAUGCUAUUUUGAUUUUACUUACCAACUCAUUUUGAUACACAAGGACUCUCACAGGAAUAUGCGAUUGGUGUGUUCAAAUCAUAUGGAAAAAUAAAGAAAGGGUGUUUUUCAUGCGAAGGGUUUGAUUUGCACAGAAAUAAU
rnacentral:lncRNA from 1 species